rnacentral:lncRNA from 1 species
UUAAAAUCAUACUUCGUUUAUCAAUGCAUUCCCUCUUCAGUCUAAGGUAAAUUUUGUUUUCUAAUCUUAUAAACUACAAUUCACAAAAUGUUAUAAAAAAAAUAUAUAUAUAUAUAUAUAUAUAUAUAUGAUUUUUUGGUGUCAAAUCUAAUAAAAUCGGAAACUGAUAAUAUAUAAACUGAACCAAACCAAUGUAAGAAUGAUUUUAAUAUGGUAGUUUAUUUUUAUAAAUCAAAAUAUUUAAGAUCUAAAAAAGCUGAACCAAAAUUGUAUCAAAUCCGAAUUGAAUAUCUAGCAUCUCUUAUGUAGUUUUUACAAUUUACUAUUAUUACGAUAAUCAUAUUACUUUUUUGUAACAGAGUUGACAAACUAACAAUUCAUGCUCAUGGGUUAUUUCUGACAAUAGAUUUGUCCCCUGAUUUUAAUACAUUAUAACAGAACCAUAUCAUUAGAAGAAAAAAAACAGGAAUAUAUGUUUGUUACUUGAAGAAAAUCAAGACCACAAAAUAUCUGCGAAUCGGAACCCAGCAAAGCAGAAUCUCCACCAGGCCUUGCCAUAGCUGCAUGUUAAAGUAUGAAAAAAAGACAAAUACAUAAUGAAAUAUGUUUAUGGCUUGGAGAAUAUAUAUACCUUGGAGUUUUCAUAUCAGUAUUAACUAAAUGCAACUAAAACACACACAAUCUCACAGUCGCAGCAUAAGAGAGAUGGGAUCUUAAGCGCUGGUUCAAUGUGUUUUUUUCAAGCAAUAUUAAUAAACUUUAAGACGCAUUUAUCAUAUUCAAGAAUACGGAAAAUCAAUUGUAACAAACCAUCAUGUUUGAUCAUUUAAAUAGCAUGAAGUUAAAAUAAAUAUUCAGAGUAUGAUGCUUCUUCUAUAAAACAACAUAGCAGAGAGAGU